GGUUCAUCUAGAGUGGGAAGAACAUUCACAAAAGAGGUGAUUGAGGUCAUGGCCUCCUUCAAUGAGAAACCUCUCAUUAUGGCUCUCUCCAACCCAACCUCGCAAUCUGAGUGCACAGUUGAAGAAGCUUACACUUGGA